AUGGACUUAGGAGGGGUCCUCUGACCUGGGCUGUUAGAGGCUGUUGUUCUGGUCAAGAAGUCAGUU